UUCAGUGGAGCUGGUCUCCACUAGACUGUAUAUUCAGGGGACUGGGAACUUUGUCUCACAAAGGAAAGCAAGAGAGGACUUUUAAGAGAGGACUAUCAAGGCCUUUCCUUCACAGGUUCUACAGGUGGUAAACAGUCCGCUGGUGGACUUUCAAGAGGGACUAAGGAAAGUGACCAAGUACCCCUGGAGUCCCAGGAGGUCAUCUCCUUGAAAGAAAGAAUGGCUUUGUACCAGGCCGCUGCAUCUAAAGCAGAGAUCAGCAACUCCUCUGCUAAUGCUCUGGAGGAAUCAGAGGCAUGCAGAAUACCUGGAGGUUUGGCAAGCGUGAAGAACCAAUUUGAAAAAGGAGAAGCUCAGUACCAAUAUCGACAAAAAUCUGUACAGGUAAAAUGAAGGCCUCCUAAAGUUGUUGUAAUGGGGACAUCGCAGCCCUGAUCUUCUGGAAGGCAUCUUAUAAUGCAAGGCUCUUGCUCUGUCUGUGUCCCAUUUUCACUUAGAACUGAUGAUUAUUUCACUUUUUAGGAAUACGCUUUUCCUUUAUUAGAAGACACAUGCAUAAUUUGAGAACUAUGAUGCCCGCAUGAAUUUUUACAAAGAUUGCAAAGGUGUUGUUGUAAGAGCAGCCACUUGGCUAUGAAAAAAUAUGAGAUUUUUCUCUGGUAAGCUAUUUCCUGAAAUGUGCGCAAAUAUUGGAAAUGUUCUGUUUUGAAAGGCUAUUGCACCCGAAGGUACAACAACUGCUCAAAUACCAGCCAAAACUCCCACCGUGUAACAACGAAGCAAACACAGAUCUGAUAUAUAGUCCAAAAUGUAUGAAAAGGUGCAACCCAUCUUUGGGAUAUAAUUUAUCAGACAUAAUUUAUCAAUAGUGUUCAUUAUAAUGAUUUUGCAAGUGUCAUAAAUAC